rnacentral:misc_RNA from 1 species
GAUGAAGAACGUAGCGAAAUGCGAUAAGUAAUGUGAAUUGCAGAAUUCAGUGAAUCAUCGAAUCUUUGAACGCACAUUGCGCCCGCCAGUAUUCUGGCGGGCGUGCCUGUUCGAGCGUCAUUACAACCCUCAGGCCCCCGGGCCUGGCGUUGGGGAUCGGCGGAGCCCCCCGUGGGCACACGCCGUCCCCCAAAUACAGUGGCGGUCCCGCCGCAGCUUCCAUCGCGUAGUAGCUAACACCUCGCGACUGGAGAGCGGCGCGGCCACGCCGUAAAACACCCAACUCUUCUGAAGUUGACCUCGAAUCAGGUAGGAAUACCCGCUGAACUUAAGCAUAUCAAUAAGCGGAGGA